rnacentral:rRNA from 1 species
GUCUUUAAAGUUAAAAGAUUUGGCGGUAUUUUAGUCUGUUCACAGGAACCUGUUUCUUAAUCGAUAAUCCACGAUUAUCUUUACUUUGGCUAUUAAAUUUAUAUAUCGUUGUUUAUAAGGAUUUUAGAAUAUAAUUUUUUCAGAUCAAGGUGUAGUUUAUGUCAGAGUUGGAAUGGGUUACAUUGAAAAUCAGGAGUAAACUGGAUUUGAAAGUAAGCUCUAAAAUAUGCACAUAUCGCCCGUCGCUUUCAUUUUAAUGUGAAAUAAGUCGUAACAAAGUAGGCUUAUUGGAAAAUGGGCCUGGAAUUCAGAUUAGAGCUUGGUAAGCAUUUUAUUUACACUAAAAGGUUAACUGUUAAAUUCAGUUUAAUUUGAUCUUCUUUCAUUAUUUUUUUUGUUUUUUUUGCUUCUUUGUUGGAAGGAUUUUGGUUUUUAUUUUUUUCUUGGGAAAAUGUAAUUAUAGUUUAUUUUACUGUAGAGGAAUUGUUUUUAGAUUUUUAAAGAAGGUUUUAUUUGUCGUACCUUGUGUAUCAGGGUUUAUUUANNNNNNNNNNNNNNNNNNNNUUUUACUGUGGAAUUAGUAUUUUAUUAAUUUGGGCAUGGAAAUGAAACGUUAUUCGACAUCAUUGUUCUGGUUCUCUAAGAAUUUAAUUUAAUUUGUUUGGCUUGUUUUGUAUUGGUGGGGGAUAAGCUCCUGGACUAAUUAAUAUAAGCUGUUUUUUCUGCAAUUUUUAUAGGAUUAGUAUUUUCCAUUAUUUUUAGUGUGUUAUAAUUAGUUGUUUUAUUUUCUUUAUUAGGGUUGUUUCUUUAAUUUUGUUUGUUAUGUAAUUUUGAUGGAAUUAGUAAGGCUUGGUUAAGGAAUUCGGCAAAUUAGUUUUCACCUGUUUAAUAAAAACAUGUCUUUUUGAUAAUGAUUUAAGGUCGGGCCUGCCCAAUGAUUAAAUGGCCGCAGUAUUUUGACUGUGCAAAGGUAGCAUAAUCAUUAGUUUCUUAAUUAGGAGCUGGUAUGAAUGGUCUGAUGAGAAACUAACUGUCUCUAGAAUUUUAUUUUUGAGUAAGAAAGCUUAAAUUUGGUAUAAAGACGAGAAGACCCUAUAGAGUUUUUUGGUUGGGGUGAUGUGAAAGUUGAAUUAACCUUUUAUUUUGGUGGUUGUUGAUCUACCGU